rnacentral:rRNA from 1 species
GACGAACGCUGGCGGCGUGCCUAACACAUGCAAGUCGAGCGGGAACCUCAGGAGGGGUAACCCACCUGAGGGGAGAGCGGCGAACGGGUGAGUAUCACGUGGGCAACCUGCCCCGGACACCGGGAUAACCCAGGGAAACCUGAGCUAAUACCGGAUACUCCGGCGCGACCACAUGGUCGCUCCGGGAAAGCCUUGACGGUCCGGGAUGGGCCCGCGGCCUAUCAGCUUGUUGGUGGGGUAAUGGCCCACCAAGGCGACGACGGGUAGCUGGUCUGAGAGGACGGCCAGCCACACUGGGACUGAGACACGGCCCAGACUCCUACGGGAGGCAGCAGUGGGGGAUCUUGCGCUAAUGCGCGAAAGCGUGACGCAGCGACGCCGCGUGGGGAUGAAGGCCCUCGGGUUGUAAACCCCUUUCGGCAGGGACGAAGCGAAAGUGACGGUACCUGCAGAAGAAGUCCCGGCUAACUACGUGCCAGCAGCCGCUGUAAU